UGGGGAAUAUUGGACAAUGGGCGCAAGCCUGAUCCAGCCAUGCCGCGUGUGUGAAGAAGGCUCUAGGGUUGUAAAGCACUUUCAGUAGGGAGGAAGGCCAGAGUGUUAAUAGCGCUUUGGAUUGACGUUACCUACAGAAGCAGCACCGGCUAACUCC
rnacentral:rRNA from 1 species